GAUGAACGCUGGCGGCGUGCCUAAUACAUGCAAGUCGAGCGAAAAGAUGAGGAGCUUGCUCCACUGACGUUAGCGGCGGACGGGUGAGUAACACGUGGAUAACCUACCUAUAAGACUGGGCUAACUUCGGGAAACCGGAGCUAAUACCGGAUAAUAUAUGUAAACGCAUGGUUCAAUAGUGAAAGACGGUUUUGCUGUCAAUUAUAGAUGGAUCCGCGCCGCAUUAGCUAGUUGGUAAGGUAACGGCUUACCAAGGCAACGAUGCGUAGCCGACCUGAGAGGAUGAUCGGCCCCACUGGAACUGAGACACGGUCCAGACUCCUACGGGAGGCAGCAGUAGGGAAUCGUCCGCAAUGGGCUGAAGCCUGACGUAGCAACGCCGCGUGAGUGAUGAAGGUCUUCGGAUCGUAAAACUCUGUUAUUAGUGAAGAACAAAUGUGUAAGUAACUAUGCACGUCUUGACGGUACCUAAUCAGAAAGCCACGGCUAACUACGUG
rnacentral:rRNA from 1 species